AUUGAACGCUGGCGGCAUGCCUUACACAUGCAAGUCGAACGGUAACAGGUCUUCGGAUGCUGACGAGUGGCGAACGGGUGAGUAAUACAUCGGAACGUGCCUAGUAGUGGGGGAUAACUACUCGAAAGAGUGGCUAAUACCGCAUGAGAUCUACGGAUGAAAGCAGGGGAUCGCAAGACCUUGUGCUACUAGAGCGGCCGAUGGCAGAUGAGGUAGUUGGUGGGAUAAAAGCUUAACAAGCCGACGAUCUGUAGCUGGUCUGAGAGGACGAUCGGCAAGACGGGGACUGAGAAACGGCCAAGACUCCAACGGGAGGAAGCAGUGGGGAAUUUUGGACAAUGGGCGCAAGCCUGAUCCAGCAAUGCCGCGUGCAGGAUGAAGGCCUUCGGGUUGUAAGCUGCUUUUGUACGGAACGAAAAGCCCCGGGUUAAUACCCUGGGGUCAUGACGGUACCGUAAGGAUAAGCACCGGCUAACUACGUGCCAGCCGCCGCCGUAA
rnacentral:rRNA from 1 species